GAUGAACGCUGGCGGCGUGCCUAAUACAUGCAAGUCGAGCGAACAGACGAGGAACUUGCUCCUCUGACGUUAGCGGCGGACGGGUGAGUAACACGUGGAUAACCUACCUAUAAGACUGGGAUAACUUCGGGAAACCGGAGCUAAUACCGCAUAAUAUAUUGAACCGCAUGGUUCAAUAGUGAAAGACGGUUUUGCUGUCACUUAUAGAUGUAUCCGCGCCGCAUUAGAUAGUUGGUAAGGUAACGGCUUACCAAGGCAACAAGGCGUAGCCGCCCGGAGAGGGUGAUAGGCCACAUUGGAAGGGGACCACGCUCAAGGCUCCUACGGGAGGCCGCAGAAGGGAAUCUUCGGCAAUGGGCGAAAGCUUGACGGAGCAAGGCGGCGUGAGUGAGGAAGGUCUUCGGAUCGUAAAACCUUGUUAUUAGGGAAGAACAAAUGUGUAAGUAAAUAUGCACGUAUUGACGGUAACUAAUAAGAAAGCCACGGCUAACUACGUG
rnacentral:rRNA from 1 species